rnacentral:misc_RNA from 1 species
CACGCUUGCUUUUGCUGCUGAUAAAUAGCCGGUCGUGAACCGAGUGAGAGUCGGCGCUCACCACAACGUGGAUGCCUACUGCAGCGCAAGUCCGAAGAGAUCUAUCUUCUCUAGCAACUUUCCGAGUUUGAAGCAACACAUGAUCUGUCUAGUUGGGUACAGUGAAUAGAGGGCCGCCGCCGGCGCCAACCAGCGACGGCUAUGAUCCCACACAAAUUGGCCUUCGGUGUUUCUCUACUGCUUUCAUGUUGCUGCGCCGCUAAGGCGGUGGUCACGUUCUCGCUGGAAGGGCAGUGGACAGCCGUGAACACUAACAAGUCCAUAAAAAUUUCCGCCACCGUUCCCGGAGGUAUAUACACAGACCUGAAGAGGAGUGGCGUCAUCGGCGAGCCUUACUACGGUUUUAACGAUGUGCGGUACGGAUGGGUCGGCUAUGAGAACUGGACAUUCUCAAAACGUUUUGAUGUGCCCGAUGCGUUGCUCAAACAAGAACGCUUGUCCCUCGUGGCUCACGGCAUCGACACUGUGUGCAGGGUCAAGCUGAACGGCGUCGUCUUGUUCGACGCCGACAACAUGUACGUUCGGUACAUAGCCGACGUGAUCGAUGUUCUUCACCGUAAAAGCAACAUCAUCACGGUCAGCUGCGAGUCCCCAGUGCUGUACGCCCUACGCAAGCACGAGCAGCAGGUGCGCUCCUCCUACCCGGUGUACCCGCUGUGUCCACCGGCGGUGCAGAACGGCCAGUGCCACGUCAACUACAUCCGCAAGAUGCCGUGCUCCUUCAGCUGGGACUGGGGACCUUCUUUUCCCUCCACCGGAAUCUGGAAGCCGAUUGAAAUUCAAGGAUAUAAUGGCGUAAUAAUCAGGGACGUAUUAGUAGCGCCCAUCCUUAUAGAUCGUUACAGCAAAUCACCGAAAUGGAGCCUAAACGUGAGCGUAUUUUAUGAUUCGUCCAUGAGCGAGACAAAUAAUGGCACUGCCUGGAUCGGCCUCGACGGAGGUACCCUUUUAAAUGAGCCAGUGACGCUGAAGCCACGUACUGCACGAGAUGCGAGGCUGGACUUUUCCAUUGUGAUACCUGACCAAAUGAAAAUUGAACAAUGGUGGCCAUCUGGCUACGGUGACCAGAAAUUGUAUAACCUAAAUGUGACCAUCUCCGUCGACGGGCAAGCGACAAUAAAGACCGCGAGGUUUGGCUUUCGAACUGUAGAGAUAAACCAAGAAUAUACGGGUACUGUGAUCGACGGAACAGAAUUUUACUUUGAGAUCAACGGAGUCCCAAUAUAUGCUAAGGGCAGCAACUGGAUACCUGCGGACAUAUUUCCCGAAAGAGCAACAGACGAAUACGUCCGUGACUUACUUCUUUCCACAAAGGAGGCGAACAUGAAUAUGCUUCGCGUGUGGGGCGGCGGCGUGUACGAGACGGACUACUUUUAUGACCUGGCCGACGAGCUGGGAAUUCUCAUCUGGCAAGACAUGAUGUUUGCCGUCAGCCUCUACCCUGUGGGCGCAGACUUUCUCCAGAACGUCGCGAAUGAAGUACAGCAGCAGGUACGGCGUCUGCACCGACACCCAUCGAUCGUCGUCUGGGCGGCCAAUAACGAAAAUGAGCAGGCUAUUGCUUCUGCGUGGUGGCCUCAGAUGUUCCUGAGAAUGUUCCAGUAUCGAAAAGAUUAUCGGACGCUCUACAUCGGCACAAUGAUGCCCGUCAUUCAGAAGGAAGAUAAGUCGCGCCCUUUCCUCUCGUCCAGCCCAAGCAACGGGAUAAUUACGUCGAAUAAGACCUGGAUAUCAUCCAACCCAAACAGCUUGUAUAACGGCGACAUGCAUUACUACAGUUACCUGUCCAAUGCGUGGGAGCCGUCGACAUUUCCGAUCUCAAGAUUCGUGUCCGAGCACGGGCUGCAGUCGUACCCGUCGAGAGACACCUUGCUGCCAGUCAUGCCGAGCUCCAUGAUCAAGUACCCGUUCCCCAUCCUCAUGCGCCACAGGCAGCACCAGCGCUUAGGAGACAUAUACGUGAAGCACGGAAUUUCGGAUCACUUUAAGGUGAAUGGUCUCAUUAUGACCAGCUGGAUCAAAAACACAAGCAAGGCUUACGACAUGAUCUCGUAUUUGAGCCAGAUCAACCAAGCGAUGGGCAUGCGGAACGCCGCCGAGACGCUGCGACGCUGGAGAAGUUUCAUAGGUCCGCAGGGUCAAGGCCACAACAUGGGAUUCCUGUACUGGCAACUGAACGACAUAUGGCAGGCGCCGUCGUGGGCUUCCAUAGAAUAUGGUGGCCGGUGGAAGAUGGUGCACUAUUUCGCGAAGAAGUUCUUCAGUCCCAUUAUAGUGGUUCCCUACAUUUUCCACUCGAACGGUAACCUGAGGGUUUUCGUCGUCAAUGACAACCUGGAACCCGUGAACGGGGCAGUGCUCUCAAUUACGCAGUACAUGUGGACCUCGUUCACGCCGGUCGCUACAACUACCAUUAAUGUUACGCUGGCCGCAGCCGCGUCGACGGACGUGUACUCGCACAAGAUGCAAUACGAGUGGAAGCAAGAUGUCUGUGACCCCGCCACCUGUUUCCUUUGGUUCACGCUCUCCGAUCCUCACAGCCGAUCUGCGCUGGCACCCGACAAUUUCCUACUUCUGAGAGAGCCCAAAAACCUUGCACUGCCGCAUGCUUCGAUAUACGUGACGAAGGUGAGCGGGCCUACGUCAUCAGCCUCGAUGCCAGGCUUCAAGGUCUUCGACGUUGAACUUCAGGCGGACAACAUCGCCUUGUUUGUGUGGCUAAACGCUCACAACGUUAGCGGCCACUUCUCCGACAAUGGAUUCCUACAGAAGGACCCGAAGACUACGGUGCAAUUUUACACCCGCCAGAACGCGACCGCAGCCGAGCUCGAAGAAGCUCUUACGGUCAACUCGCUCAAGGACUAUUCGAGCUUCUAACGCCGACCGAAGCGUUUAAAGUUGGAUAGCACAUUUACUUAGCACAGAAGCUGCAGCGCAUGACGUACUUAAUGGUUAAAUAGUGCACGGAAGCUAUUACUCAUGCCCACUCUUGUAGAGUGCAAGUUAUUGGUGGGCUAAUCACUAAGUCGCAUUGAUAACGUGAACAUCGGGAGCAUGUGCCUUUUUUGUCUAGGAAUGGCGAAGUGCUGCGUCAACAACAGUUUUCCCAACCUUCACGACUUCGCCUAAAAGCUUAAUUACAUUAAAGAGGUAUUUCAAAUCCGUGGUUUCCACUUUCAAAGUUCCCUCUUGUGGCCAGAGUCGUAUUCUGUUUCCUGCGGCACGCCUGAAAGCGUAGUUAGAGUAUUUUAGUUUCGUGGCUCAAAGUUUUCUGUGCACGGCCUCCAACAGUGUUUAUUCGGCCAUGCCUUCUGGUAAGCGUUAAGUAAGCGGUCAGUUGCGCCACAUUGUUUAGGAAAAUUUUAACCGAGUGCAGAACACCUUGCGCAGUCUGUAAGCUGUUGCAAGAGGAAAGAACAUUGGGAGAUAAUUGCGAAAGACUAGAGUUGCUCUCUAGCGACUUCCGCGCACCUGAAAGAUUGAUUAAGUGCUGUAGAUUCACGCUUUAUUAUUAAAGUUUGCGCACGAGCACCAUACAGUAAAUAAAGCUUACAACAGUGGUGACCGUCUUUUCGUGGAACGUGCGAAAAAAAUAGCCAAUUUCAUCACAUUGUGUAGAUGAACUUGAUUAGCGUUCAAUACUACGCUGCGCUAUUGCAAAGUAGCAGCUAUCCGAAUUGCAGCGCGCAGAAAGGCUGAGUAAGUUGACAGGUGAUAACUAAAAUACGACGGCAUGGAAAUUAAGUUACCGUGAUGAACAAGAGUUUCUUUAGUUGAAUGGUUCUUUUUAAAUCAGCGGGUGUUUAAUGGAGCACAGUGUUGUCGCCUGUUUUCAUUAUUUAGCUCUAAACAUUGUUACAUCAGCCGUGAGGUCAAAAACUUGGAGGUCGCUUGACCUUCACCUUCAAGAGUAGAACGCGAUAGCGUAAUGGGGCCCGUGUGCAUCGCCUUCUCAAUUGCUAGCCUGGUUUCGGU